ACACAGUGACUUGGCAGCGUUGGAGCUGGGACGAGAACAUGAGCUUGGGUCACCACCUUGCACAGCCACAGGGGAAGGGUGGCUCCUCGAAAGGUCCCCAGAGCUCUCCUUCAAUCCCGGACCACAUGCUUCCUCCUUCCAACUAUCAGCUCCAACUAUUUAGCAGUUGCUGGCUUUGCACAAGGAGAACUGGGAGUAGUCGGCAUAUCGUUGGUUUGCAGAUGGGUCCACCAGCUCAGCAGUUGAAGACAAUGCCCCCUUCAACCUUCAGGUGCACAGGCCCCCACUGAAAUUGGACUCAUAUCAGCUGAACCCGUAGG
rnacentral:lncRNA from 1 species